GUUCUCGAAACUAUUAAGUUGCUCAAAACGGUCACUUCGUAAGUAAUAUGAGAAACAAGCAAACCGAGAGCAGGUUCAUCUAAAAGGAAACCAAAAUACCAAAAUGGAUCUAGCAUUCUGCUUUAUAGUUAGAGUCUACUGGUUCAUCUGGAAGGAAACCAAAAUGGAUGUAGCGCCCAGAUCGUACGCUAAGGUCCCUAAGCAAUCACUUAGUGGAAAAGGAAGUGAUCGAGCGAUGACAACCAGGAGGUGCGCUUGGAAGCAGCCAUCCUUUGAAGAAAGCGUAAUACCUCACUGGUCUAGCUCCAUGACAGGGCUCAAGUGAUUCACCGAAGCGACGAGACCUUAAAAACUGUUUUUUCAAGUGUCAGUAGAGAGACCUUCUGCCAAUCGGGAAAAACUGUUUUUUCAAGUGUCAGUAGAGAGACGUUCUGCCAAUCGGGAAAGGUUUUUGGUGACAAGACCUGGAGAUAUCAGAAGUG
rnacentral:ncRNA from 1 species